rnacentral:lncRNA from 1 species
CGGAGCCGAAACCUUUUCAUUUUUGAAUUGAACAUCGUGUGAGCAUAAAUCUGUGUUGAAAAUCGGACGGAUCUGACCGUUGUAGAAGAUUUCAUCAGCAGAAAUAGGUGAAAAUUCAGGUUCAGUAUUAACAAAAGCAAACUCAAAAUCAUCAUCACCGUUAUCUUCUUUUUCCAGUACUUCAGCUUUCUCAUUCAAAAUCUGUACUGCACAGCUGAAUGUCUCAUGAUUGAAGAAAAAGUCGGAAUCUGUUUCAUCUUCAGCUUUGAAUUCUUUGACAACUCUAGCAGCAAUUUCUG